rnacentral:rRNA from 1 species
GACGAGCGCUGGCGGCGUGCUUAACACAUGCAAGUCGAACGGAAAGGCCCUGCUUUUGUGGGGUGCUCGAGUGGCGAACGGGUGAGUAACACGUGAGUAACCUGCCCUUGACUUUGGGAUAACUUCAGGAAACUGGGGCUAAUACCGGAUAGGAGCUCCUGCUGCAUGGUGGGGGUUGGAAAGUUUCGGCGGUUGGGGAUGGACUCGCGGCUUAUCAGCUUGUUGGUGGGGUAGUGGCUUACCAAGGCUUUGACGGGUAGCCGGCCUGAGAGGGUGACCGGCCACAUUGGGACUGAGAUACGGCCCAGACUCCUACGGGAGGCAGCAGUGGGGAAUAUUGCACAAUGGGCGGAAGCCUGAUGCAGCAACGCCGCGUGCGGGAUGACGGCCUUCGGGUUGUAAACCGCUGUCGCCUGUGACGAAGCGUGAGUGACGGUAAUGGGUAAAGAAGCACCGGCUAACUACGUG